ACUCAAAUGAAUAGACGGGGGCCCGCACAAGCGGUGGAGCAUGUGGUUUAAUUCGAUGCAACCCGAAGAACCUUACCUACCCUUGACAUCCCUGGAAUCCUGUAGAGAUACGGGAGUGCCGAAAGGAACCAGGAGACAGGUGCUGCAUGGCUGUCGUCAGCUCGUGUUGUGAGAUGUUGGGUUAAGUCCCGUAACGAGCGCAACCCUUAUCCUUAGUUACCAGCAUGUCAUGAUGGGAACUCUAAGGAGACUGCCGGUGAAGAACCGGAGGAAGGCGGGGACGACGUCAAGUCAUCAUGGCCUUUAUGGGUAGGGCUACACACGUGCUACAAUGGGGCGUACAGAGGGUAGCCAACUUGCAAAAGGGAGCCAAUCCCAGAAAGCGCCUCGUAGUCCGGAUUGAAGUCUGCAACUCGACUUCAUGAAGUCGGAAUCGCUAGUAAUCGCGAAUCAGAAUGUCGCGGUGAAUACGUUCCCGGGCCUUGUACACACCGCCCGU
rnacentral:rRNA from 1 species